rnacentral:rRNA from 1 species
AUUGAACGCUGGCGGCAUGCUUUACACAUGCAAGUCGAACGGCAGCGCGGGCCUCGGCCUGGCGGCGAGCGGCGAACGGGUGAGUAAUACCUCGGAACCUGCCUCGUAGUGGGGGAUAGCACGGCGAAAGCCGGCUUAAUACCGCAUACGACCUGAGGGCGAAAGCGGGGGACCUUCGGACCUCGCGCCAUCGGAGCGGCCGAUGGCAGAUUCGCUAGUUGGUGGGGUAAAGGCCUACCAAGGCGACGAUCUGUAGCUGGUCUGAGAGGACGACCAGCCACACUGGGACUGAGACACGGCCCAGACUCCUACGGGAGGCAGCAGUGGGGAAUUUUGGCCAAUGGGCGAAGGCCUGAUCCAGCAAUGCCGCGUGUGUGAUGAAGGCCUUCGGGUUGUAAAGCACUUUUGGCGGGAACGAAAAGGACUGUGCCAAUACCACGGUUCGAUGACGGUACCCUCAGAAUAAGCUCCGGCUAACUUCGUG